UUGAAAAGUUGUUAAGUGAAAGCUUUGAGUGUUGAAGGGCCAGUCGAAGAAACCAGUAGGCAAGAAAAGGAAGUCGAAAGCAAAAAGGGAGGAAUAGUUGAGGUUAAGUAUUUUGUGAGUGGUCUUUUAAAUGAUUUCAUAAGUAAAACAGGUGAUUUGAUACGAAGGAACUAUUUUUUUAAUAUAAAUAUUUGCACUUGUAAUCCUUGUAAAUGAAAAGUGUAUUUUACAAAGACGGUAUGAAAAGCAUUCUUUUGUAACCAUGUGUGAUGUUAUUGUAUGGCAUUGUUAUUACUAUGAGUUUAUGCAUUGAAAGUAAGUUGUUGAGCUAAUGCUUCUUAUUUUGUUGAUUUUACUAAUUGUGUGGUGUGUGAUCUUGUUGACCUAUCGCAAGACACUAGUGGAAAUCUCAGGUUUAAUGCAAGACACUGGUAGGAAAUGAAUCCCUGGUCUAGGCGGGUAAAUGCUGGCAAAGUGAAUCCCAGGUCUGUGCGAGAAUGAGUUGUGUGCUUGAAAGUUAGAUGUUGGUGAAGUGAAUCCCAAAUCUAAGCGUCGAAUGAAUUUGUGAGACAUUGGUGAAAAGUGAAUCCCAGGUCUAUCGGGUGACGCUGGUGAAGUGAAUCCUAGGUCUAGGUGAUGAGACGCUAGUGAAAGCGAAUCCCAAGUCUAAGAUGAGAAUGAGUGCUACGAAAUGCUGGUAGAAAUUCUAAGUCUAUUGUAAAACACUAGUGAAAAUCUCAAGUUUAACGCGUCUAUUGUAAAACACUAGUGAAAAUCUCAAGUUUAACGCGUGACACUGGUGAUGUGAAUCCCAGAUCUUGGUGGGUAAAUGUUGGUGAAGCGAAUUUUAGGUCUAGGUGAUUAGAUAUGGAAGAGAGAAUCCCAUGUCUCGGUGGCGAAUGGUGAAUGUUUGAUGAGUUGAAUGGGUAGAAUUGUUGUGUUUGUUGUGUUGUAAAUUGUAUUGAAAAUUUGUGUUGAUGCGAUGAAUACUUGUGUUGAUGAAAUUAAGGUUGUUAUUAUUAAACCUGUUGUAUUCCCCAAAAAAGUAUUUUCUAAAUCCAUCACUCACUAAGUCUUUGACUUACGUUUUAAGCUUUCUCCUUCCCAAGUUGUCAAGCGUUGAAGCUAAGUAAAGAAUGGUUCUCAAGCAUAGAAGCCAAGUAAAGGAGGAAAAGCUUAGUCGUGAAGAGAAGUCGAGAGUAGCAGCACAAUUUUGUGUGGCCAAAGACGAUGAGUGGAAGAGCUGAGCAAAGGGUGAAGAGCCUAAAACUGUCAUUGAGUUGGGUUGCGGGGCGAUCAAGGAGAAGGAUAAGAAAGAGGUUCUUAUACUCCAUAUCUUGACGUAAUGAGUAGCAUCCCUGGUGGAUGAAGGCAUGUGGUUUGGAAUUCAGGCUUUACUUUUGUACCAUAGAAGUUAUGUACGUUCUGCUACAUUAUUAUUUGUCCUUGUUGCUUAUAGUUGAAUUCGAGUUAAGUUUUGAAAUCUAGGCAAUAGAGUACCAUCCAAAGGUUAAGUAUUUCCGUUGCAACGAGUUGUUAAAGUCUCUAAAAGCCAUGAAUGAGACAAGUUGGAAUGUGUUGACCAGGCGUUUUUUCUUUUUUAAUAUCUGUAAGUGUUCAUGUCAGCUUCCGCACACCUCAACUAAUCUCGCGAGUUACAUUUGGUCCUAGGUAGGUGGCCAGAACCCAUGACCUCUUAGUUAGUUAAUGAGACUAUAUUUCUCUUUUACCACCAAGUCAACCCAUAAAUGGUUAGAAUCAUAAAUAUUGUUUCAUCGGUAUAGUUAUCAACUUUCAAACAUU